GGACCCGCACAAGCGGAGGAGCAUGUGGUUUAAUUCGAUGGUAAGCGAGAAACCUUACCUGGGCUUGAAAGACAGCUGCAAGCCACCCGAAAGGGAGGCCGCCUUCGAGGGUGCUGUCUAGGUGCUGCAUGGUUGCCGUCAGCUCGUGUCGUGAGAUGUACCGUUAAGUCGGAUAACGAGCGCAACCCCUAUUUCGUGUUGUAUAUCACGAGAGACCGCCCCGGAUAACGGGGAGGAAGGUGGGGAUGACGUCAAAUCAGCAUGGCUCUUACGUCCAGGGCUACACACGUGCUACAAUGGUAAUGACAGAGGGUCGCCAAGCCGCAAGGCGGAGCUAAUCCCACCAAACAUUACCUCAGUUCGGAUUGAGGGCUGCAAUUUGCCCUCAUGAAGUUGGAUUCGCUAGUAAAUGCGUAUCAGCAACGACGCAUUGAAUACGUUCUCGGGUCUU
rnacentral:rRNA from 1 species